rnacentral:lncRNA from 1 species
UGGCGGCGCCCCGCCGCGAAGCCGCUUUCCCCGCGCGCAAGCGCCUCUCGGGAAAGUACGCUUUCAAUCUCAGAAAGCGUAUUCUUCCUCUGCUUCGGCCGGGAAUACGUUUCCCUUUUUGGAAAACGUAUUUUCAGAGAAGACACGUUCUGUUUAAACUACCAGGGACCUGUUUGUAGAAGUAUUUUUACAGACUAGUCCCUGAGCUUUAAACGUCUGUAUCUUUUUACCCGUAACUCCGAAUCAGGUGAAUCCAAAGCCCACGUCUUCGUUUCAUCGAGCUCUUUCCAUUGGUAUCAUUUUCAUUAUGUUUUCACAUAGUGAAAAUGACCAUUUGCCCUUUACCAUAAACAGCCUCCUCUGAGAGAGAACUAUUUCCGGCAAAUCUUUCCGCGAUCGUUUCCCACUUCUUCCCGGAGUAUUUAUCGACCCCCAGGCAAGCCAACCUCUUAUCAUGAGCCCCGAACUUGCAUGUUGACUUUGCUUGCACCUUGUGCGUGUGUAGUUGCAGUUGUUUCAUAAAGUUUUCAUCUGCAGUUAUUCCGUUAUGCUGUCUUGCAUGCUUGUGUUUUCAUGAUAUCUUUUGCCAUGCUAAUUAGAAUGUUAUUAUUAAUAAUGCCAUGUUACUACUCUACUUUACUUACAUGUCAUCAUUAUAAAAUGAUAUGAGGAUUGUAAUGCACCGUUGAUAUGCUAUUGUCAUGUUCUUUAUGUUAUAGUUGUGCACUUGAGGAGUUCGAUAUUUUCCCAUGCAUUUGUAUGCUGCAUGCUCAUUGUUGCAUCCAUGUUAAAUAUGUUCAUGAUGAUGGAGAAGGAAAUAAAAUGACUUAAUAAUAACAAACCUCCUCCGUCAUUGAUGGGAUCGAGUCAUAGUGCCGCCAAAUCGAACUUUUUCAGUGCAACCACAUUUGCCUUUGUGGGAAGGCCUUAAUGCGAGCUAUUGUCGUGACCUCUCGUCGGUGCCUCCAACUAGGGAAGGUUAUGGGCAUGCUUACACUAAUCAGGUAGGUAGACAUAACUUUGUGUGCUCGUUGAUGAGAUUAUGGUACCGAGUCCCCGAGUGGGAGUGUCCCCGAGUGGGAGUGUUUUGACCACGACGGUGGUCGGGGUGUCUUUGGUAGACACGGGGCCACCCAGGACCAGCCCAUUGGGGAUUUGGGUCGGAGUGGCCGGGAGAGUGUCAUGGUAGUAGAUCGGUUUCGUCGGAAUGCCAUUGGUCCACCCGAAUGAGAUGACAAGGCUAUGGGUUCCGUGGUGUGGGUACAGUGUGCUACCUCUGCAGAGUGUAUAAAGUCUAUCGAUAGCAACAGUUCGUAGUAGGUCCCACUAUCAGGUCUUGGUCAAAAUGGAGGAUAAACCGAAGUAAUUAAGUUGACAAAUAAAUAUGUGAUAACAAAAAUAUGGUGACUUGGACUAUGAUAUAGUCGUGAGAAGUCACAGUGAUGUUUUGGUGGUGAUCACCGAAAGGAUCACGGUUUGAGGCCAAGUUUUGGUCGUGGUGGUGAUCGCCGUAAGGAUCACGAGUUACUCUGGUCAAGACCACGAUGGUGGUUUGGUGGUGAUCGCCGUAAGGAUCACGAGUUAUUCUGGUCAUGGUUGUGAUCACCGGAAAGAUCAUUGUUCGGUUGCGAGGCAACCCGAUGAUAAGAGAGUCCGAGGGACUCGGUGUACAAGUUUGCGUACAUUGCAUGAGUAAUAUAUCAUUAUUUGCAUUUAAAGAACCAUGAUAGAACAGAAGGUGAUUGCAUAAAGUUAAUAUGCUAUGUCUGCAUUGGAUAUUAUUGGUAGUUUACUUUCAACAUAGCUUCAUGAUGCCUUUAUGCCAUGUUAGAAGCAUGUUUGGAUAUGCCAUGUUAUUGCCAUGUUAGCAGAUGCUAUGAUUUUGUUCAUGAUUAGUUGAUUUUUAUCAUGCCAUGUUUAGUAAUUGAUAUGAGAUAGGUUGUUCCAUGCGCUCAUUUCUUGCUAGUCUUCUGCUUGUUUGGAUGCUAUGUAUUUGGUUGUCUUGCAAGUACAUUCAAAGUACUGACCUGGCGUGUCAUGCCAGUUUUGUAGGUCAUACCCGUAUUGUUCGCUUGAUCCGUCGUGCUAGGCCGUAACCUUGCCAGUCCUGUGAGUUGUGGAGCCUAGCCAGAGUUGUUAUGCUGCCAAACCAAGACUUCCGCUGCCAUUAAAUCAGACUUCCGCUGUCAUUUAAUAGCCUUAGGGCUAGGCCAGAUAAUUGUAUUCAUCAAUGAUGUAAUCUCAUAUACAUGUAUUUGAUGAAUAUUCUUGUACCUGGAAUGCUGUAUUAUGGACCUGUCGUCCGUCAGGUGUUAUCCUGG